UUAUUGACAAUUCAUUCUCUACACACGUACAGUAUUGCACAAAUGACAGGUGGACCGACAAGUGUAUUAACAAUACGAACUCGCAAGCACCUACAGAGCCACCGCGCUAGGUUUUGGUGCAUUCCGUGCCGGGUACUUCAGUAAACAGGACGGACAGAAGUGUGACAGCUACCUCAUGAGAACCGGCUUUCAAAAAAAGCAAGUGUUGUAGAACACUUAGUAUGUCAAACCCAGGAAAAUCACUAAAUGACAAAAGGAACACUGUCAAAGAAAAGGUGGUAGUGACAAUGUUAGGUUAAGAAUUUCACUGAACUUGAGAUUCAGAAAACGUACACGUACUGGGAGUUUGAAGAAAAGACCCUCAUGUUCGGCCCUCAUGAAGACCCUCAACAUUCGAGAAGGAUAUUUCUGGGGCGCUACAGUGUCCUCUCUACUGCAGAAAACAUGUCUCAUAGCUCUAAAGAAACAAGACGGUAAUUCACAUGAGUGGGUUUUAAAAUACGAUUCUUCUCACUCAAAAUAAAAUAAACUAAAUAAUGAUCUUUGUCAAAUUACAGGAAAAUCUUAUCAGAAUGCCAACCAGAUAGAGAAGCCAGUCCACACGCUGAGCGUUGCUGCCUGCCUCAGACUGUGGAGCCGGCGUGUCCCCUACACAGAAGGGGACACGAGAGUGGUCCCAGCUCCGCUGCUACAGAGCCUACGGUACAGAAUUGAGGGGUGGACUGGAUGGCUUUUCAGACACCUUUCAACCAAAAGGAUCUAAGCCAGCUUGAGACUCCACCGUGGAGGGGACACUGAGGGUGGCAAAAGAAA